rnacentral:rRNA from 1 species
UACGGGGGGUGCGAGCGUUGUCCGGAAUCAUUGGGCGUAAAGAGUUCGUAGGCGGUUUAUUAAGUUUGGUGUUAAAUUCUGAGGCUUAACUUCAGUACGGCACUGGAUACUGAUAGACUGGAAUGCGGUAGAGGUAAAGGGAAUUUCCGGUGUAGCGGUGAAAUGCUUAGAUAUCGGGAAGAACAUCGGUGGCGUAAGCGCUUUACUGGGCCGUAAUUGACGCUGAGGAACGAAAGCCGGGGUAGCAAAU